CAAUCAAAACAAAACAAAUGGAAAAAGAAACGUAGAUCGGUGGCAGCUAGAAAGCCGGUGACGACGACUGCCUCCCGAACAAAGAGAGGUACCAACUUUGGCGGAAGUCGUGACACUCAUAUCCUGGCAAGUGUGGGGGAAAAAAUAUUCCCCUGCCUAAAGGAGGGGCUCCGCACGAAGAUGGACACUACACUGACAAUCAUCAUUGCAGUGGCGGUUCUGUAUAACUUAGGCAAGAGACAAGCUACCUGAGGAAGCUGAGGAGGACCUACCGUUAUAGGAAUGAAGAUGGCCAGGUGCAACAUGCUGCCAAUGCAAAUAGGAAUGCUGCGAGAACCUUGAUUGCGAACCAUUUGGCAGCCUAAGGGUGGAACUGGAAGUACCAGAACACAAGAGUGGAGACAAGACUGGAGGAUACCAAAUCACUUGGGAAAGCAUUGUUUUAAUAAAUAAUUGUUUUAAAAAAUUAUUCCUUAAAUAAAUAAAAAGAUUCUUUACACAGAA